rnacentral:lncRNA from 1 species
ACAAUAAUUAGUAGAUAGUUAGGCAUUUAAAAUAUGUCUAUUAAACUAAUAGCUACUUUUUCAAGCAAUAUGUUCUUUAUAAAUACAUAUUAAUAUGAUAUUGUUGUGUUCAAGUGUUUUCUUGUUAGGGACAUUAAGAUUAUUUAAGAUUUCUUGUAUUAAGUGUUUAGACAGAGAUUCCUCAUUAUAUUUUUAUAUGGAUAACAAAAUUAAUUGCUGCUUUGCAAAUAAUUAUGGAGCUUGUUAUAAACAAUCAUAUACUCAAGAAAGAAAUCUGAUUGAUGAUAUUGACAGCAAUGAUCGUAAGCUACUUGGAAAACGAACAAAUCUGAAACAAGAACAAAUUACUAAUAUAUGCACAUACCAUCAUGAUAUGUUAGUUGUAAGAUAUGAGUGUAAUCAGAAAAGUUGCUGUAAUCCAUUUCUGAGUCACCAAAAAGUGUGUAGAUGAACCACUACUGUUCUUAUGCAAGGGAAAAUAUAAUCUAACCAAAAAUAACCAAGAACCUACUCCUAUAACGCAAAAAACGAAAAAGAAAACAACUUUUAUGCAUACUCCGCAUACUAUAGUUCAAGGAUCAGCAAUGGCAAGGUUUUCCAGAGGAAAGAGAGUAUUUUGAUAUAGUGCGAAGCCAAGUGGCGUGUGUGUUUUUCCACAUAAAAGAAAAAAGGUUGUUUAACCAGACACACCUGCAUUUGUUUCCCUUGUAAGAAAAGCUACUAAAAAAGAUUUCUUAUCGAAUGGAAUGGAAGGAAGAAUUUCAGAAGAAAGUUUUAAAUGCACUAGUAGAAAUGAAAGAGAUGUUGGUAAAGCUCUUUCCAGUAAUUAAAAUAAUAUCACGACAAAUAGUCCUGAUAUUUUAUGGAUGAAUUCACAGCAAUCAUUUAGUGAUUAUGAUGACAGUUUUAAUGAUUUUUGGAUGAGGAAUUAUGAUAACUGUCUAAACGGGUGAUGUCUGAAGUGGUUAACAAACUUUCUAAAAUCAGAGAGAGCGUCAUGUCAAUUAAAGAGACUGCUACAGUUGCCGAAAUAGGAAAAGGAAUAAUGACUUUAUUUAAAUAUGCACUCGACAGAUCGAAUGGUGGUGGUCGGUACAAAACAACACUCGUACCUUUUCCUAAUUGUUCUGAAACUAUUGUUAAAUAAAACUUUUUUUUUCAAAAAAUUUA